rnacentral:rRNA from 1 species
CACGGUGGAAAUUCCGUGGCCGCCGAAGAUGUUAAGCACAGGGACACAUAGAGAUAGCCGUACCGGGGCGUUGGUUGACCCCGCCGAAAGGAUCCGCUUAGAGGGUAGGCGGCGAUGCUCUGUGGCGAGAAAAGCUGUGUGUAUUAUUUAGGCGCCCGUACCGCAAACCGACACAGGUAGAUGAGGAGAGAAUCCUAAGGCCAACGGGAGAAGGGUUGUUAAGGAACUCGGCAAAUUGACCCCGUAACUUCGGGAUAAGGGGAGCCGGCGCAAGCCGGUCGCAGUGAAUAGGCCCAAGCAACUGUUUACCAAAAACACAGGUCUCUGCUAAAUCGAAAGAUGACGUAUAGGGGCUGACUCCUGCCCGGUGCUGGAAGGUUAAGAGGAGGGCUUAGCGCAAGCGAAGGUCUGAAUUGAAGCCCCAGUAAACGGCGGCCGUAACUAUAACGGUCCUAAGGUAGCGAAAUUCCUUGUCAGGUAAGUUCUGACCCGCACGAAUGGAGUAAUGAUUUGGGCACUGUCUCAACAGCCCGCCCGGCGAAAUUGUAGUACUGGUGAAGAUGCCAGUUACCCGCAACUAGACGGAAAGACCCCAUGGAGCUUUACUGUAGCUUAAUACUGAAGAUCGGUAAUGCAUGUACAGGAUAGGUGGGAGCCUAAGAAACCGGGCCGUCAGGUUCGGCGGAGGCGACCUUGGAAUACCACCCUUGUAUUGCUGGUUUUCUAACCUGCGGCCGUGAAUCCGGUCGGGGGACACUGUUAGGCGGGCAGUUUGACUGGGGCGGUCGCCUCCAAAAGAGUAACGGAGGCGCUCAAAGGUUGGCUCAGCACGGACGGAAAUCGUGCACAGAGUGCAAACGCAUAAGCCAACUUGACUGCGAGACCGACGGGUCGAGCAGGUACGAAAGUAGGAGUUAGUGAUCCGGUGGUAUGUGAGUGGAAAUGCCAUCGCUCAACGGAUAAAAGCUACCCUGGAUAACAGGCUGAUCCCCCCCAAGCGUCCACAGCGACGGGGAGGUUUGGCACCUCGAUGUCGGCUCGUCACAUCCUGGGGCUGAAUUCGGUCCCAAGGGUUCGGCUGUUCGCCGAUUAAAGUGGCACGCGAGCUGGGUUCAGAACGUCGUGAGACAGUUCGGUCCCUAUCUGUUGCGGGCGUAGGAGAUUUGAAGGGAGCUGUCCUUAGUACGAGAGGACCGGGAUGGACUGACCUCUGGUGCACCAGUUGUCGUGCCAACGGCACAGCUGGGUAGCUAUGUCGGGACGAGAUAAACGCUGAAGGCAUCUAAGCGUGAAACUCCCCCUAAGAUAAGAUCUCCCAUCCUUUAUGGAGUAAGGGUCCAUGUAGACUACAUGGUUGAUAGGCCGGCGGUGUAAGCGCAGUAAUGUGUUCAGCCUACCGGUACUAAUAGCCCGAGGGCUUGAAC